rnacentral:rRNA from 1 species
AUACGGAGGGUGCAAGCGUUGUUCGGAAUUAUUGGGCGUAAAGCGCGUGUAGGCGGUCUGUUAAGUCUGGUGUGAAAGCCCUGGGCUCAACCCAGGAAGUGCAUUGGAUACUGGCAGACUUGAGUAUGGGAGAGGAAAGCGGAAUUCCGAGUGUAGGAGUGAAAUCCGUAGAUAUUCGGAGGAACACCAGUGGCGAAGGCGGCUUUCUGGACCAAUACUGACGCUGAGACGCGAAAGCGUGGGGAGCAAACAGGAUUAGAUACCCGAGUAGUCC